rnacentral:rRNA from 1 species
GUGCCUAAUACAUGCAAGUCGAGCGAGCUUAGCUAUUGAAGUUCUUCGGAAUAGAAAUAGAAGUAAGCUAGCGGCGGAUGGGUGAGUAACGCGUGGGUAACCUACCCUUAAGACUGGGAUACCAUCUGGAAACAGAUGCUAAUACCGGAUAAAAGCUACUUUCGCAUGAAAGAAGUUUAAAAGGCGGCGAAAGCUGUCACUAAAGGAUGGACCUGCGCUGCAUUAGCUAGUUGGUAAGGUAACGGCUUACCAAGGCAAUGAUGCAUAGCCGAGUUGAGAGACUGAUCGGCCACAUUGGGACUGAGACACGGCCCAAACUCCUACGGGAGGCAGCAGUAGGGAAUCUUCCACAAUGGACGCAAGUCUGAUGGAGCAACGCCGCGUGAGUGAAGAAGGUUUUCGGAUCGUAAAACUCUGUUGUUGGUAAAGAAGGAUAGAGGUAGUAACUGGCCUUUAUUUGACGGUAAUCAACCAGAAAGUCACGGCUAACUACGUGCCAGCAGCCGCGGUAAUACGUAGGUGGCAAGCGUUGUCCGGAAUUAUUGGGCGUAAAGCGCGCGUAGGCGGUUUCUUAAGUCUGAUGUGAAAGCCCACGGCUCAACCGUGGAGGGUCAUUGGAAACUGGGAAACUUGAGUGCAGAAGAGGAAAGUGGAAUUCCAUGUGUAGCGGUGAAAUGCGCAGAGAUA